ACUCACCGGGAGAAAUGCGAUGU
rnacentral:miRNA from 1 species